rnacentral:rRNA from 1 species
UAGUGGCGAACGGGUGAGUAACACGUGGGCAAUCUGCCCUGCACUCUGGGACAAGCCCUGGAAACGGGGUCUAAUACCGGAUACGAGCCUCCUCCGCAUGGUGGAGGUUGGAAAGCUCCGGCGGUGCAGGAUGAGCCCGCGGCCUAUCAGCUUGUUGGUGAGGUAACGGCUCACCAAGGCGACGACGGGUAGCCGGCCUGAGAGGGCGACCGGCCACACUGGGACUGAGACACGGCCCAGACUCCUACGGGAGGCAGCAGUGGGGAAUAUUGCACAAUGGGCGAAAGCCUGAUGCAGCGACGCCGCGUGAGGGAUGAAGGCCUUCGGGUUGUAAACCUCUUUCAGCAGGGAAGAAGCGAAAGUGACGGUACCUGCAGAAGAAGCGCCGGCUAACUACGUGCCAGCAGCCGCGGUAAUACGUAGGGCGCAAGCGUUGUCCGGAAUUAUUGGGCGUAAAGAGCUCGUAGGCGGCUUGUCGCGUCGGUUGUGAAAGCCCGGGGCUUACCCCCGGGUCUGCAGUCGAUACGGGCAGGCUAGAGUUCGGUAGGGGAGAUCGGANUUCU